GGUAUCCUGAGUCCCACUUGAAAGCUGAGGCUUGAAGUGUAACGGCUUCAGGGAAGAAGUCCCCAGGGCUGGUUUCUUUACUGAGACAAGAGUGCUCCAGAAAGGAGGAGCAAGCCACCAAUGGAGCAUGGUAGAGGAGGGCACCACAGAGGAAAGACAUACCACAGAGGGAAAGACUGUACAAUCCUUCCCAAAUUUCCUCUCCCAGAGACUACAGCAUGCGGCAGAACCAGAGUGGACUUUGACAGUGCUGGCUUUGAUUGUGGCCACUGUUACUUGCUUGCUGUGGAAUGAGAGGCCGGCUGCCCUAGCCUUUCUGAGAAUGUCUCGGGAGAAGGACCAUGAAUUAGGAUGUUGUUCUGUGGAGUUGGAAGUGACUCUGGGAUUGCCAAUGGAAGGGAAGCAUCCAGCAGACACAUGGAUGCCACACCCAGGGAGAAGAUGCACAAAGAACAGUGCAGGAGGGGUGGAGAAGGAACCACCCAGAACCAACACCUCUGGGACCCGUGUUUGCUCCUCCUCCCCUCAAUAUUGUGAACUGUCUGAGGACAGGGUCAGGGUUAAACCACUUGUGGUUUAUUCUAGCCCAGGGUUCACUGAAUGAUACAUGAACAAAUGAAGUCUAGAAACCAUGUUCUUUGAGAAACAAUUGAAGAAACUGGAGAUGCUAUCUUGGAGAAGGCUUGGUUCAGAAUACCCUGAAGGGGCUGACCUGUGGAAACAGGACACCAUUGUGGCAAUAUUGGAGGAAAUUAUUUCAGUUCAGCACUGAUGGAUUGGGCCAUCUAGUGAAGCAGGGAGGUCUUCAGCACCGAGAACACGUACACAGAGAUGAAUGCCAUUCUCCCAGGACCAGGGCACAGCAUGUCAGCCUAACCACACCUUAAAUGCACGCAGCUUGGACAGUCUAGGGUUCCAGCUUGUCACCCAGGCAACUCUACCACCUGUCCCAAUUGACUUCUGAAGAGAGGAAUGGAGUCCACCCUUAGCACAUAAAGGUGAGAUCUCUGCAGAUGUGGGCUUCAUUCUGUGGAACUUCUGGAAAGCCAGCUGGUCUAACCUUUCCCUCAUCAUUCUGGGCCCUCAGUAUCCGGUUCCGCCGGAUCUAUCGACCACUCAUCAGUUCCCCAUGCAGCCCUGAUCUCCCUUUGGUGGGGACCCUUUGAGAGUAGGAACUAAGCAUUAUUUGUUCAGGAGGCAGCUAUGUUGCGAUGGUUAAGAGUACAAGUCCCAUAGGCAAACCACUUCAUUCCCUGGUCUGUAAUCUGAGACACUCAUAGGACUAGUGUAAGGAUCAAAGGGUUAAUACACAUAACGUGCUUAAAACAGUUCUAGCAUGGAGUAAGCUCUCAAAAGAAAAUUAGCUACUUUUAUUAGAUCAGUUUCUCCCAUAUCUGGCACAAUACCUGUCAAUAAAGUUCUGCUGAAUAAAAAAAUUAAUCA
rnacentral:lncRNA from 1 species